CAGGCUUAACACAUGCAAGUCGAGGGGCAGCAUGGUCUUAGCUUGCUAAGGCCGAUGGCGACCGGCGCACGGGUGAGUAACACGUAUCCAACCUGCCGUCUACUCUUGGACAGCCUUCUGAAAGGAAGAUUAAUACAAGAUGGCAUCAUGAGUCCGCAUGUUCACAUGAUUAAAGGUAUUCCGGUAGACGAUGGGGAUGCGUUCCAUUAGAUAGUAGGCGGGGUAACGGCCCACCUAGUCUUCGAUGGAUAGGGGUUCUGAGAGGAAGGUCCCCCACAUUGGAACUGAGACACGGUCCAAACUCCUACGGGAGGCAGCAGUGAGGAAUAUUGGUCAAUGGGCGAGAGCCUGAACCAGCCAAGUAGCGUGAAGGAUGACUGCCCUAUGGGUUGUAAACUUCUUUUAUAAAGGAAUAAAGUCGGGUAUGGAUACCCGUUUGCAUGUACUUUAUGAAUAAGGAUCGGCUAACUCCGUGCCAGCAGCCGCGGUAAUACGGAGGAUCCGAGCGUUAUCCGGAUUUAUUGGGUUUAAAGGGAGCGUAGAUGGAUGUUUAAGUCAGUUGUGAAAGUUUGCGGCUCAACCGUAAAAUUGCAGUUGAUACUGGAUAUCUUGAGUGCAGUUGAGGCAGGCGGAAUUCGUGGUGUAGCGGUGAAAUGCUUAGAUAUCACGAAGAACUCCGAUUGCGAAGGCAGCCUGCUAAGCUGCAACUGACAUUGAGGCUCGAAAGUGUGGGUAUCAAACAGGAUUAGAUACCCUGGUAGUCCACACGGUAAACGAUGAAUACUCGCUGUUUGCGAUAUACAGCAAGCGGCCAAGCGAAAGCGUUAAGUAUUCCACCUGGGGAGUACGCCGGCAACGGUGAAACUCAAAGGAAUUGACGGGGGCCCGCACAAGCGGAGGAACAUGUGGUUUAAUUCGAUGAUACGCGAGGAGCCUUACCCGGGCUUAAAUUGCAGAUGAAUUACGGUGAAAGCCGUAAGCCGCAAGGCAUCUGUGAAGGUGCUGCAUGGUUGUCGUCAGCUCGUGCCGUGAGGUGUCGGCUUAAGUGCCAUAACGAGCGCAACCCUUGUUGUCAGUUACUAACAGGUUCCGCUGAGGACUCUGACAAGACUGCCAUCGUAAGAUGUGAGGAAGGUGGGGAUGACGUCAAAUCAGCACGGCCCUUACGUCCGGGGCUACACACGUGUUACAAUGGGGGGUACAGAGGGCCGCUACCACGCGAGUGGAUGCCAAUCCCCAAAACCUCUCUCAGUUCGGACUGGAGUCUGCAACCCGACUCCACGAAGCUGGAUUCGCUAGUAAUCGCGCAUCAGCCACGGCGCGGUGAAUACGUUCCCGGGCCUUGUACACACCGCCCGUCAAGCCAUGGGAGCCGGGGGUACCUGAAGUGCGUAACCGCGAGGAGCGCCCUAGGGUAAAACUGGUGACUGGGGCUAAGU
rnacentral:rRNA from 1 species